GAGAAGAACGCAGCGAAAUGCGAUAAGUAAUGUGAAUUGCAGAAUUCAGUGAAUCAUCGAAUCUUUGAACGCACAUUGCGCCCGUCAGUAUUCUGGCGGGCAUGCCUGUUCGAGCGUCAUUACGCCCCUCAAGUCCCCUGUGGACUUGGUGUUGGGGAUCGGCGAGGCUGGUUUUCCAGCACAGCCGUCCCUUAAAUUAAUUGGCGGUCUCGCCGUGGCCCUCCUCUGCGCAGUAGUAAAACACUCGCAACAGGAGCCCGGCGCGGUCCACUGCCGUAAAACCCCCCAACUUUUUAUAGUUGACCUCGAAUCAGGUAGGACUACCCGCUGAACUUAAGCAUAUCAAUAAGCGGAGGA
rnacentral:misc_RNA from 1 species